GUGUCAGCAGCCGCGGUAACACGUAGGGGACGAGCGUUGUCCGGAUUCAUUGGGCGUAAAGCGCGCGUAGGCGGCUCGGAAAGUCGGGCGUGAAAUGCCGGGGCUCAACCCCGGGACUGCGUCCGAUACUUCCGAGCUGGAGGUAGGUAGGGGAGAUCGGAAUUCCUGGUGUAGCGGUGAAAUGCGCAGAUAUCAGGAGGAACACCGGUGGCGAAGGCGGAUCUCUGGGCCUUACCUGACGCUGAGGCGCGAAAGCUAGGGGAGCGAACAGGAUUAGAUACCCCCGUAGUCC
rnacentral:rRNA from 1 species